UUUUGCAAUAUUUACCUUAUUAUUCUAUCUAUGUACACAUUUUAGUAUUUGAACUGUUGAUACUAAGUUUCAGUUACGGUGUCCUGUUGGCCCUAGACAUUUCAGUGAGGUUUUUUUUGUUUGUUUUGUUUUUUUUUAAACAAGGACUCUCCUGGGUGACUUCCAUCAAAAUCAGGAAAUCAGUAUUGAUAAAAUUCUACCAAAUCCACAAACCCCAUUCACAUGUUACCAGUUCCUCCAAAGUGUCCUUAUAAUAAUCUUUUGCUUUUGGUCUAGGAUUCAGGACGGGAUGACGCAUGCAUUUAGUUAUGUUUUCCCUCCAGCAUUCCUCAAACUGGAGCACUUCUUCCGUUUGUUUUUUGUUUUUUUUUUAAAUUUUUUUAUGACCUUAACAUUUUUGAAGAGUACUGGCCAAUUACUUUGUAAAUGGCCUUUCCUUUGGGUUUGUCUGAUGUUUCCUCAUGAUUAGAUUCAGCUUUUUGACAGGAACACCAGAGAAGUGAUGCUGUGUUCUCUGCAUUACAUUAGGAGACACACAGUGUCAAUUUCUCCCAUUACCGGUGACUUUAAUUUUUAACAAUUGAUUAUGCCUGUAAGGUUUCUCCACUGUCAAGUUAAUAAUAUUUUGUACUUACUCAUUAAUGAGGAUAAGAAAUUUGUGGGGAGCUACUCUGAGACUAAAUCCCGUGUUUUAUAAAUAUUUAUCCUCUAGUUUUGGCAUCUGUUGAUGAUUCUUAUCUGAAUCAGUUAUUGCCAAAUGGGGAUUUUCUAAUUAGACUGUGGCAUUUACAGUUUCUUGGCAUUCUGGCGUAAGCAGUUUCUCUUCUCCCCCUUUUGUGUGUUCAUUAUUUACGUCACAUGGAACAUGGAUUUUGUUUUACAAUCUACAAAGUAUCACGGUUCAUUUUGAUGCUAUAGCUGUCCUAGAUUUGGCUGGUGGGAGCACUUUCAAACUGGCUUCUGUGUUCUUUUGAUAUGCUCUCAGGUUCUUUUUCUUUUUUAAUUGUGGUAAAAAAAAAUCAUAUCUUAACCAUUUUUAAGUGUAAAUUUCAGAAGUGUUAAGUAUAGUCCCGUUGUGUAACAGAUCCCAACGCUUUUCGUCUUGCAGCAUUGAAACUCUAUACCCACUACACACUCCUGCCUCCUCCCAGCCCUCAGCAAUCACCUUCCUACUUUCUGUUUUUAUAAUUUUGAGUGCUUUAGAUAUUUAGUGAGCAGAAUCAUACAGUAUUUAUCCUUUUGUGACUGACUUAGUUCACUCAGCAUAAUGUCCUCAGGGUCCAUCCACGUGGUAGCCUGUGACAGGAUUUCCUUCCUGUUAAAGGUGGCACAGUAGUCCAUCGUGUGGCCAUACGACUUCAUCUAGUCACUUGUUGGAUAUUUGGGUUGUUUCCAGCACUUGGGGCUGUGAGUCAUGCUGCAGUGAGCAUGGCUGUGCAAAUACCUUUUUGAGAUCCUGCUUUCAAGUCUUUUAGAUAUCUAUCCAGUGAGGUUGCUGGGUCAUGUGGUAAUUCUAUUUUUAAUUUUUAGAAGAACUUCCAUACUGAUUUUCAUAAGGGCUGCACAUCCCUGUGGUUCUUUGAGCACUUCCUUACUUUCAGUCACCACAAGCAUCGUUCCAGUCUCCCUCUUGUAUUUUCACUACCCCAGUUCUGGGAUUGGUCAUUUCUCCAGAGUCCUGGUUCACUUUGGUGGAGAAUGUUGCUUAGAACCAAGAUCUGGGUGCUAGGUUGCACUCAUUGGCACCGUGCUGGCAGGUCCUCUCAGCAUACAGUUAGGAUGUGUCUCCAUCUGUGCUUGUUUCCUCAUCCAUCCAUCCAUCUAGAAGUUCUGCAAGCUCACACUGAUCUACAGUUCCACCUGGACUCCACAGGGUUUAUUCUAGUCUUCCCUCUCUUCAUAUUUGUACCUCCUUUACCCUAUAGUAAACACAGGGCUCCCAUAAUCUUCAGUAUAUUCGCUUAUUUGUCCACUCCCCUGCGAUACACCAAUUUUUUGAUCAUGGGGCUGACUCCUUUGCUUGAAGCCCCCUGCACAUGGCUGCCGUGAAGAUGGCAUUUCCUCCCAUUCCUGCCGCAUGGCAGCUCCUGCCAAACGAACCCCAUAGCAGGUAUUUUAAAGAAGGCACCUUUGGCUCAGAUGGCAGUGCCACAACAGAUGUUCCGUUCCAGUUUUCAUGGUGGUCGAGCAAUAAGCACAUGACAUGAGCACGGAUUCUGACGGCGUCUAUUUUGAAUGGGACUUUAUAAUUUGGGGGUAUUCAUCGUGGUUAUAUUGCUACAAUAUUUUCCUCAUUAUUUUCUACUCAAUAGCUAAGCCAAAGUAAUGGUCACUGUGGCUUUGGGUUACUGGGGGAGAGUAUGAAAAGGAAGGAGGUGGAAACCCAGUCUCAGAGGAGUAAUGGGUUUGGCAGGAAGACACCACACAGUGGUGAUCACAAUCCCAAAUGGUCUCUAAGCAAAACAUUCUAGCAGUUAAAGAUCUUAAGUUCUGUGUUAAUAUUAUUUUAUAACUGUCCUUGCAAGAAACUUUGCCUGUCAGUUCAUCAUUUGGAUCAUCCACCCCCUUAACUCUUAAGCUUUAGGAGUGUCAGGACCAAGUUCACUACAUUGAGUGCUGACGUGUUCUUCUAUCAGUCAGUCAGUUAUUCUUCAAUCUUAACAAUUUGGAGUGGGAGGAAUAAUAUUGUGCCCCUGGACAAAUGAUUCCUUAGUAAGCUCAAGAUGGAGUCCAGUUACAUAAGAAAUGUAGGAACCUGUGUAAUAAUUAUUAGAACUUAAUCCUACCUAUGGGAAAGUGGAGUCUAUGGCCAUAAUUAUUUCCAUUUUAGAGAUUUGGUUUAUCUAAUGGAAAUAAUUGCUCAAGCGCUUUUUUACUAAAAAAUAACUGAGCCCCUAGCAUUGUAGCUGAUACUGAGUAUUUUCUAUGAAGCAAAUACUGUGCCAAGCACCUUAUGUUCAUUGUUUCAUUUAAUCAUCAUGAUCGUGGGCAGAAUGGACACUGUUAUUACCCCACUUUACAGAUGUGGAAACUGAAACUUACCGUCUGUUGUUGGUCUUCCAGUUCUUACACGUAGUAGGCAUUACAGUGUGUACUGGUUUUGAUAUAUUAUUAGAGGCCUUUAGUUUUGAGUACGACAUUGUGUGGAUGGGGCCAGCUACUUUAAAUCUUUGCACUUUGAGUGUAUGGGGAUGGUCAUGGGACCAUUCCUAGGGUUGCAUGAGGAUCAAAUGAUAUGAACCAUGCAAAGCACAUGGAGUGUCUGGCACAUGAUAAACACCUCAAUACACGUUAAUAAUUAUUUAGUGCCACUUUCGUAUCUGUCACUUCAUUCAAUCUUUAUUACAACCCUAAAGGCUAGGGAUAACCUCCAUUUUUACAAAUAAAGGAACUGACUUUGGGGGGGUCUCAGUGGCUUAUUCAAAGUCACAUAGCUGAUCAAUAUUGAAUUGGGUCCUUUCACCACUUGAACUGUAAAAAGUGCUCUAAUAUUUAUCCUUUUAGCUUCUAGACAAGGAUCCUUUGAAGUAACUUCUGAUCUAUUACUCACAGUUUACUCUAAAUAACAGUGGAAUUUACAUCAUAUGACCUAAUGUAAAUCAAAGACAUUUUUAUCUUUAGACAUUUUCUAAGACAAUUUAUAUGCAGCAGACUUUCUGGUUUGGUCAAAGUGAUAAUGCGUUAAUCUAAAGGUACUGAAUCUUUUCCUGCCUUAACUGCUGAUUUUAUGCUGUUCCCCGUAGAAUUACAGAAAACAGUCUUCCCUUGGUCAAAAUGAGAAAAUCCACAGGCUGCCUGAGAAGCCUGGAACGUUUUCUGUAGACCUUGCAAAGCGAAGGAGGAGCCUAACCUCAUGCUUUCAAUGACAACGUUAAGGGGCUCACCUGGCUCUUGUGUGUCACAAAUGUAUCAAUGACUGCUCUUCAAGUCACCAUCUAGGAAACAAAUAUGCAUCCAUCCAAACAUGGAGCCAUCAUCCUGAAAUUGCAGUUUUCGGACAGUUUACGACCUCAGUCCAUGUUGGAAGAGAUGCAACUUCUUUUGAAACUGUGUAGGAUGCUGUCAUUGGAAGCACAGGGAACAAGUCCUCCUGUGGGCACACUACACUGUAAGUACAGUAUAUGUGGACCUCUACAUUGUAAGUACUAAAUGCAUUGCCUUUUUUUCCCUUAAAGUAACACAUUUAUUAUCUUAGUGUUCUGGAGUUCAGAAAUCUGACAGGGUCUCAGCAGUCAAGGUGUUGGCAGGGCUGCGUUACUUCUGAGGCUUAAUGGGGAAAAUCUGUUUUGUUGCCUUUUGCAGCUUUUAGAGCUGCUGCCUUCCUGGGCCCGUGGUCUGCAGCUACAUGUCAUCACUUCAAACUCUUCUGCUGUCACAUCUCCUCUGACCUCCUGCCUCUCUCUAAUAAGGCACCUUGUGAUGACAUUGGGCCCACCUGGAUAAUCCAGUGUAAUCUCCCCAUCCCAGAAUCUUUAAUGACACCUACAAUGUCCCUUCUGCCACGUAAGGUACGAUAUUCAUAGGUUCCGGGGAUUAGGAUGUGGACAGCUCGGGGCCAUUGUUCUGCCCGCACAGAGGGUGUGUAGGGGCUGCAGGACCUCAGCAGAUGCUCUCUAGUUGAACUCACCUCCAGCGCAAUGUUGAGUUGGGUGUGAAAGCCCAAGAGAGGGGGAGGGAGGCGUCCCGGAUGCCUGAGCCUGGUGGGGACCCGGCAGGUGCCCGGCCCUGCUAAAUGCAUUGCUUUUUACUGGUCUUUAAAAGGCCUUAAAAAAAAAAAAAAAAAAAAAAAAAACAA